CGCAUCUGUGCAUGCAGCAUAUCAAUAAGCGGAGGAAAAGCUGUUACCUACGCUUAGGAUGUUGACGAGACUGUCGAUCUCACCUAUACAUGACUCUGUGCAUAUCAAUAAGCGGAGGAAAAGAAACUAACAAGGAUUCCCCUAGUAACGGCGAGUGAAGCGGGAAGAGCUCAAAUUUGAAAUCUUAAAGGGUUUCCCUUUACGAAUUGUAGUUUAAAGAAGUGUUUUCUGUUGAGGUUUUGGUAAAAGUUCUUUGGAAUAGGACAUCAUAGAGGGUGAGAAUCCCGUAUUUGACCUUUACUUUCAACUUUGUGAUACACUUUCAAAGAGUCGGAUUGUUUGGGAAUGCAGUCCAAAAUGGGUGGUAAAUUUCAUCUAAAGCUAAAUAUUGGCGAGAGACCGAUAGCGAACAAGUACCGUGAGGGAAAGAUGAAAAGAACUUUGAAAAGAGAGUUAACAGUACGUGAAAUUGUCAAAAGGGAAGCGUUUGACACCAGUGUUGUUUUUCUGAAAAUCAAUUAAAGAACUGUUUAUGCUAAGUUGCUUAGACUUUAUCAGCUAACUGUUUAGUUUUGAGCUUUUCUUUAAUGCACUUUUCAGUUAACAAGUCAACAUCAAUUUCUUUUGCUGUAAAAAGCUUGAGGAAGGUGGCUUGAGAUUCGUCUUAAGUGUUUAUAGCCUCUUGCCUAUGCAGUCGGAGAGAUUGAGGUCUGCAGCGUAGAUCCUUCGGGGCUAAAUGCAUUUGUGCUAAGUUAUAGCAUUUUAUAGACAACUUGUUGACUAUGAUUUGUCUUGUAGCUUACUCGCUUAUGUUAUUUUACCUACGCUUAGGAUGUUGAGUCAUCACACAUCUCU
rnacentral:rRNA from 1 species